AUGACUUAAACCUCUUCUUCCUCUUUUCCAAACAGAGUGAAGUUGUUAUGUUUAAUUAUUCAUUUUAUUUCUUAUCUAUUUCUCUUCUCCAUCUUAAUUAAUCAUAUUGUAUGCAUAUUAUUUCAAUCAUGAGAACAUAUUUCUGAGCAACCAGUUUCAGAGUUUGUGGAGAUAGAUUAAUAGAACAAGUGCUUCCUCUUGGAUAAUGAAAAGCUACCAAGUGAAUACUUUAAAGAAAAUGUCAUGCAGCUGAUCAGAGCAUUAUCAUAUGGCACCCUUCUACCUGUCAUGGACAACUAUAACAGUUCCAGGGCUAGGACCCAAACCUGCUAAGACUUUUUAAAUGUGAAGAAAGCAUCUCUUCCCUUCCCACUUCUUUUGGUAUGUAAAUCCUUGGGCUUUGCAAAGAGAAACCGAGUAUUCGGUAUAUUAUCUGCUUAUGAAAAAUGUGAACUAUAACCUGAACUACUAACAUAAAGAAACUUGGCAAUUUUUAAAAAAUUUACAUAGCCACAAGUAAUAUUAAUUGACAUUUAU